CGCGGGCCGGGGGCGGCGGCGCCCCCGCAGUGUGGGAAGCGAGGUGACGCCGGGGGGAUCCCCAACCACCCGGCUCGGCUGCACCGUGCGCCCCUCGACACUCUUCCCCCUCCGCUCUUCAGUGGGCCGGAGUCGGUGACAGGAAUCGGCUUCCAACAUGGCGGACAGGAAGCGGCCCCGCGAGGAGGAGAGAACAUUCCAGCCGCGCCGGCUCUGGGGGGAGCGGGCCCGGGGCGCCGGCCUCGGGAGGAGCCGCGGGGACAGACUGCGAGGUGAGGUCAACUGUGGAACUAAGAAGGGUUUUAGAAUGUGAAGAGUUUCAAGAGAGAAAGAGGGUGAAAGAGCACUUUAAAAUCAAUGUACAAAGUUGUAAUGGAGAGACAG